GACGAACGCUGGCGGCGUGCUUAACACAUGCAAGUCGAACGGAAAGGCCCUGCUUUUGUGGGGUGCUCGAGUGGCGAACGGGUGAGUAACACGUGAGUAACCUGCCCUUGACUUUGGGAUAACUUCAGGAAACUGGGGCUAAUACCGGAUAGGAGCUCCUGCUGCAUGGUGGGGGUUGGAAAGUUUCGGCGGUUGGGGAUGGACUCGCGGCUUAUCAGCUUGUUGGUGGGGUAGUGGCUUACCAAGGCUUUGACGGGUAGCCGGCCUGAGAGGGUGACCGGCCACAUUGGGACUGAGAGACGGCCCAGACUCCUACGGGAGGCAGCAGGGGGGAAUAUUGCACAGUGGGCGGAAGCCUGAUGCAGCAACGCCGCGUGCGGGAUGACGGCCUUCGGGUUGUAAACCGCGUUCGCCUGUGACGAAGCGUGAGUGACGGUAAUGGGUAAAGAAGCACCGGCUAACUACGUG
rnacentral:rRNA from 1 species